rnacentral:rRNA from 1 species
GUCAUGUUGGGGACUCUGGCGAGACUGCCACCGCAAGGUGUGAGGAAGGCGGGGAUGACGUCAAAUCAGCACGGCCCUUACGUCCGGGGCGACACACGUGUUACAAUGGCAACUACAGAGGGAAGCCACCUGGUGACAGGGAGCAGAUCUCGAAAAGUUGUCUCAGUUCGGAUUGGAGUCUGCAACUCGACUCCAUGAAGCUGGAUUCGCUAGUAAUCGCGCAUCAGCCAUGGCGCGGUGAAUACGUUCCCGGGCCUUGUACACACCGCCCGUCAAGCCAUGAAAGCCGGGGGUGCCUGAAGUCCGUGACCGAAAGGAGCGGCCUAGGGCAAAACUGGUAAUUGGGGCUAAGUCGUAACAAGGUAGCCGUACCGGAAGGUGUGGCUGGAACACCUCCUUU